rnacentral:lncRNA from 1 species
AGAGAUAAUGGAAGAAAAAAGAAAAUGAAAAAGGAAAAUAGUGGCUACCAGCGGCGAGGGUGAGCAAAAAGGUUCGGUGGCUGCAGGAAAAUCGAUCGGUGGUGGUGGAUACCGCGGUGGUGACAAUGGUCUUGUAAAGGGAGUAUGUUUUUAAGGUGGUGAUGUUUAAGUUUGUUUUUAUAUGGAGGUGUUGAAGUUAUGUG